rnacentral:rRNA from 1 species
GUGUCAGCCGCCGCGGUAAUACGUAGGGUGCAAGCGUUAAUCGGAAUUACUGGGCGUAAAGCGUGCGCAGGCGGUUGUGUAAGUCAGAUGUGAAAUCCCCGGGCUCAACCUGGGAAUUGCAUUUGAGACUGCACGGCUAGAGUGUGUCAGAGGGGGGUAGAAUUCCACGUGUAGCAGUGAAAUGCGUAGAUAUGUGGAGGAAUACCGAUGGCGAAGGCAGCCCCCUGGGAUAACACUGACGCUCAUGCACGAAAGCGUGGGGAGCAAACAGGAUUAGAUACCCCAGUAGUC